rnacentral:lncRNA from 1 species
UUUGGUUGUGAAGUGAUCUGGAUGAAGUUCGGCCUGAUUCGGAAGAGGAUAAGGAUGAUCCUCUGUUCCGAAGAAGGGGAGUUGGGGCAUUUAUCUGUGGAGGGGAUCAUGAACGGGAUACUCGGGAGGAGAUGUUCCGAAACAGGGGAGCUAGGAACGGAAUGGGAUGAACGGCUGAAGCUAGAAAGUUUGGAUGCAGAAGGAGAUAAGAAUGUUGAGAUGUUGACGCGGAAUGAACGGGAUGAAGCCGAUCUUGGACGGAAGGAAUUUGAAUGAAGAUGGAUCACGACGGGAAGAAGGCUUGGUUCGCAUGGGCUGGCAAGGACGUUUGGUUCGGUUGAAAUGGAAUGUGGGAUGAAGGGAAGUUGAGAGAGAGACGUUGGGAAGAUGUGGAUGACUUUGUUUGUGGGUCACGGGAAGAUGAAGCCGAGGAAGCUGGGUUUUGAUUUAAUCCCACGGGUCAUGCGACUCUAUUGCAGAACAGGGGAAGAAAGAAAAGAUGACGUGGGAGGUUGAAAUAUGAAGGAAGAGUUUGGACACGUGGAAGGAGCUGAGACUCAAUUUGGGUGUGGUCGGCUGGGUGUUGAUCUCAUCGGAAGAGGAGUUCCGUCUUGAGGCAGGGAGGAAACUAGGAUGCUUAUCCGGCUGAGAUUUGAAGAAGAUAAGGCUUUGAGAUCCGUGCAAUUAGAUGGUAUGCUUUGAGAUCUGAGAAACAAAUAAUUGAAAGGUGUGGAAAGAGAAUUAGGUGCAGAUGGGAAUUAAUGGGAAGCACUGGGUUUUGGAGGAAAGUUCUUGGAGUCGACUCCGGAGGAUGUAAAAUCGUGAAAUGAUGUAGUGUCCGUUUAGGCUUUACCUAAUUGAGCUUGACUUGACCUGCAUGCAUUAAACUUAAUCAAUAAAUAAGCAAAUCAAACUUGAAUUACCUUUAAUAAUUUAUUAAAAUGCAAUGAUGAAGGUGACACAUUUUUUAGUUGAAUUUACAAAAUAUAUGAAUCAAAAUAAUGAUAAGUGCUAUGAAUAAGAUAUUAAUUUAUGCAUUAUUUAGCACUUAUCA